rnacentral:misc_RNA from 1 species
AACCAAGGCCAAGCAAAUAAAAUCUGCAACAAUUAUUACCACAUAUUAAUGUAUUUAGUAUCCAGUAUGAGCAAAAGCUCAUUCGCAUGUGCUUUCUAGUCCCUGACACAAAAAAAAUAUCCGAUUCUUCUCAAAGAAGCUCCAACAUCUAACCCAACUGCCAUGAUUUUUUAAUGAAAUAUUUUAUAGCAAAAGACUUCCCAAGUCUUGGUAAUGAAUGUAACACUGCA